GACGAACGCUGGCGGCGUGCUUAACACAUGCAAGUCGAACGGAAAGGCCCUGCUUUUGUGGGGUGCUCGAGUGGCGAACGGGUGAGUAACACGUGAGUAACCUGCCCUUGACUUUGGGAUAACUUCAGGAAACUGGGGAUACUACCGGAUAGGAGCUGCUGCUGCAUGGUGGGGGUCGGACAGUUUCGGCGGUUGGGGAUGGACUCGCGGCUUAUCAGCGUGUUGGUGGGGUAGUGGCUUACCAAGGCUUUGGCGGGUCGCCGGCCUGGGCGGGGGACCGGCCACAUUGGGCCUGAGAUACGGCCCAGACUCCUACGGGGGGCAGCAGUGGGGAAUAUUGCACAGUGGGCGGAAGCCUGAUGCAGCAACGCCGCGUGCGGGAUGACGGCCUUCGGGUUGUAAACCGCUUUCGCCUGUGACGAAGCGUGAGUGACGGUAAUGGGUAAAGAAGCACCGGCUAACUACGUG
rnacentral:rRNA from 1 species